UUGUUUUUGUGUGUGGAAGAGAGAAAAAAUGGUAGAGAAUGGAGGCUAGGGUUUGGGAUUGGAGAGUUGGGGAAGAUGAAGUGGGUGUGUUUGGUGAAUGAUUUUAGAAAAGAAGGGAAAAAAUGGAGUUUUGGGGCUAAAAUCGCGUCUGGGGCCCACUUGGGGGAAGCCCCGCCCUUUUCCCGCGGACACGGCCCGCGUCCGCGGCCUUCAAACGUGGGGGAUGCUCAGGGGACCCGCGGUCCCGCCCCGCGGCCGCGGGUGGUGACCGCGGGUGUCUCCUGAGUCGGGAGCAGCUG
rnacentral:lncRNA from 1 species